CCUGAGAAACCCGAAAGAUCGAAUGGGGAGAUUCAUCGUCAGCGAUAUUGGUACGUGUGCGGUUCGCGAUGCCGGAGAUUUCGGUCUCAUGGCACGCGUCUGUAUGUUUUUUAUUGCCUUUAUCGUCGGCGUGCACUUCUCCCCUAGUAGGACGUCGCGACCCGUUGGGUGUCGGUCUACGGCCCGGGCGGUAGCCUGUCUCGUGUGCGCUUCACGGCGUUACGCGGGGCAGACCCCUGUGUGUCUGGCCGACUGCCCGGCGGUACUCGCACGGUAUCUGGCCGCAAAUAUUCGAACUGCGUCCGGCCCGUCGCAAGCGAGGCAAGUGUUUCCCGGCUGUACGGAUCUAAUGCCGUCACCGGGCCUUGCCAGCUGUUGGUUGACGGUGUCCUAGGACUGGCUAAUACAAUUAUGAUACCGGUCGGCGACGCUACUGCUUUGGGUACUUUCAGGACCCGUCUUGAAACACGGACCAAGGAGUCUAACAUGUGCGCGAGUCAUUGGGAUCUAUUAAGCCUAAAGGCGCAWUGAAAGUGAAGGUCGGCCUUG
rnacentral:rRNA from 1 species